rnacentral:rRNA from 1 species
GAUGAACGCUGGCGGCGUGCCUAAUACAUGCAAGUCGAGCGAAUGGAUUAAGAGCUUGCUCUUAUGAAGUUAGCGGCGGACGGGUGAGUAACACGUGGGUAACCUGCCCAUAAGACUGGGAUAACUCCGGGAAACCGGGGCUAAUACCGGAUAACAUUUUGAACCGCAUGGUUCGAAAUUGAAAGGCGGCUUCGGCUGUCACUUAUGGAUGGACCCGCGUCGCAUUAGCCAGUUGGUGAGGUAACGGCUCACCAAGGCAACGAUGCGUAGCCGACCUGAGAGGGUGAUCGGCCACACUGGGACUGAGACACGGCCCAGACUCCUACGGGGGGCAGCAGUAGGGAAUCUUCCGCAAUGGACGAAAGCCUGACGGAGCAACGCCGCGUGAGUGAUGAAGGCUUUCGGGUCGUAAAACUCUGUUGUUAGGGAAGAACAAGUGCUAGUUGAAUAAGCUGACACCUUGACGGUACCUAACCAGAAAGCCACGGCUAACUACGUGCCAGCAGCCGCCGUAA